ensembl:miRNA Gm22692 predicted gene, 22692
GGUUUCUCUGUGUAGCCCUGGCUGUCCUGGAACUCACUCUGUAGACCAGGCUGGCCUCGAACUCAGAAAUCUGCCUGCCCCUGUCUCCCAAAUCCUGGGAUUAAAGGCGUUCGCCAACAUUGCCUG